rnacentral:rRNA from 1 species
UACAGAGACUGCAAGCGUUGUUCGGAUUCAUUGGGCGUAAAGGGUGCGUAGGCGGGUCUUUAAGUCAGGGGUGAAAUCCUGGAGCUCAACUCCAGAACUGCCUUUGAUACUGAGGAUCUUGAGUUCGGGAGAGGUGAGUGGAACUGCGAGUGUAGAGGUGAAAUUCGUAGAUAUUCGCAAGAACACCAGUGGCGAAGGCGGCUCACUGGCCCGAUACUGACGCUGAGGCACGAAAGCGUGGGGAGCAAACAGG